GGAACCUCCAAUUUACAAAGCAAGCCUCGUCUGUGUGGCACGGCACAGUCCCAAGAGUGUUGGCCACCAGGGCUCCUCUUGUGGUCCCUCCCAGUAUCCACUCUGCCAGUGAUUCUCCAGAGACGCCACAGUACAUCUAGAAUGGUUCCCACAGACCUUGAUUGAAUUCACUUUGACUCAGCAGUGAUUCCUAAGUGGGACCGAGGGGAUAAACAGGUUGCUCAUUUGACAAAGGAAGAUAAAAGUGCCCAUUUCAUAGAACUACUGUGGAGCAGAUCACAGGAGAUGUGCUAUAAGCACAAAGUACUCUACAUACAGGGAUCGAACUCGGGAACUUGCGCUUGCAAGGCAUGCAGCAGAACCACUGAGCUAAAUCCCCGUCCCAGCAAAUUACUUCCUCAUCCGAACCCUGCUGAGAGCUAUGGCUGACCAGCUGAGUACCACAGAAUUCCAACUACACCAUCACAGUUUAUUGAGCCGGGCAUGGGCAUCUGACUUAAAGACAGACAAUCUAUUGAUUGGCUAGUUAGCUACUUUUGGCCUGGGACAAAGAAAGGGGCUCCAACCAAGCAGACUGAUCCAUUUUCAAGAAUUUAAACUCAUAAAUAUUAAAAGAAGGAGACUGUGCAGAGUGAACCUAAAGCCAAAAGGAUGCAUAAAAAGAAAGGCCUCCUGAGGUCUCUUUUUGGACAGGAGAGCUUUGUGGCAAGGCCUACUGAUAGGGAAGGGUCCUUAGCAGCAGAGAUAGAGAAGGUGAAGGCUAUUAGGCCUUGCUGGGUUUCUCAUUCCUGUAUCCACAUAAUAAAUUUCCUUUCCUUUAAUGUGCUUUUCACAAAUUUCCAUUUCUUGAAACUAAAAGAACCCAAGCAUAAUCUCAGUUUUACAAAUUAAAAAAAAACAAAAACAGGAAAAAACACCUGAGAAUCAAUGCAACUAAAUAACGGUUAAGUAGUAGGGUUAGGACUGAAUCCUGUGUGUGGCUCCAGACAGAAUAAUAUAAAUAAAUAAAAUAAUUUGACUUGUAUUUCUUGCACAUUUAUGGAUAAAUAUUUUUAAGAGUGUCUUUGAUGAUAUUACAUUGGUUGUUGCAUUCAUCAGCUUUCCUGUUCCUAGGACAAAAUACCUGAAACCCACAAUUUAAAGGAGG
rnacentral:lncRNA from 1 species